rnacentral:lncRNA from 1 species
CCUCAUUUUAUCCCAUGUUCUCACUUUUUUUUUUUGGUGUUUUGCCCUUAGAUAUACUGUUUGAUCCCACCAGCUUUGUGCUGUCCCUUUUAAUCUUAGAGCCACUAACUUCACUUUCCUUGACUCGGGGGUGUUCAUAUAAUCAAAAUAUUUUUCCACCUCCGAAAUCCAAUCCAAAAAUGUUUCAAUAUGCAUUUGGCCAUUGAAUUGGGGAAGAUCUAUCUUCAUGCGAUAGUCAUUGUAGUCAUCUCCAUAAUUAUUUUCAUAUUGAUCCACCGCACCACCUCUGACUUGUUGAUAAUUUCUGUUAUUUCUCUGAAAAUAUCUCCGAUCGUUUCUCCUCCUAUACUGCCUAAAUUCAGGCUGAAACAGGUCUGGAUCAGCUUCAUCUGACGAAUCUGAAUCUGGUUGUUGCUGCUGAUUCCGAUUUGGUUGCUGCUGGCGAUCGGGUAGUUCUUGCCUUGGCGGUAAUGGAGGUUGCUGAAUAGCUGGUCUGC